rnacentral:rRNA from 1 species
UACAGAGGUCCCGAGCGUUGUUCGGAUUCAUUGGGCGUAAAGGGUGCGUAGGCGGCGGGGCAAGUCUGAUGUGAAAUCCUGGGGCUCAACCCUGGAACUGCAUUGGAUACUGCCUUGCUAGAGUACUGGGAGAGGAAAACUGGAAAUUUUACGGUGUAGCAGUGAAAAUGCGUAGAGAUCGUAAAGGAAAGACCAGUGGCGAAGGCGAGUUUUCUGGACAGUUACUGACGCUGAGGCACGAAAGGCCCAGGGGGGAGCAAAACGGGGGAUUUAGAAAAACCCCCCCAGUAGUCC